AAGCCAAAAGUAGGCACUUCGACUAACUGCCUUCUAAGCAGUAGGUCAGGGGUUCGAGUCCCUUUUGGCGCGCCA
rnacentral:tRNA from 1 species